UACAGAGGUCUCAAGCGUUGUUCGGAUUCAUUGGGCGUAAAGGGUGCGUAGGCGGCGCGGUAAGUCGGGUGUGAAAUCUUGGAGCUUAACUCCGAAACUGCAUUCGAUACUGCCGUGCUUGAGGACUGGAGAGGAGACUGGAAUUUACGGUGUAGCGGUGAAAUGCGUAGAUAUCGUAAGGAAGACCAGUGGCGAAGGCGGGUCUCUGGACAGGUUCCUGACGCUGAGGCACGAAGGUCAGGGGAGCAAACGGG
rnacentral:rRNA from 1 species